CGGCCUGCAGUCCGGAACCUCCUGAGACGGCCUGCAGUCCGGAACCUCCUGAGACGGCCUGCAGUCCGGAACCUCCUGAGACGGCCUACAGUCCGGAGUCUCCAGCGGCGGUCUGCAGUCCGGAGUCUCCAGCGGGGGUUUCCAGUUCAGAGCCUCCGGCGAUGAUUCACGGUCCGGUUCCUCUGGCGACGAUCCAUGGUCUGGUUAAACAAAAGCGGAGGGAUCAGCGGGCGGAGCGGGGGCUACGUCACGAACCGGAGCCGCCACCAAGGAUAGAUGCCCACCCGGACCCUCCCCUAUAGGUUCAGGUUUGCGGCCGGGAGUCCGCACCUCCCGGGGGUGUACUGUCACGCCCUGACCUUAGAGAGACGUUUUAUUUCCUCUAGUUUGGUUAGGUCAGGGUGUGAUGUGGGGUGGGCAAUCUAGUUUUUGUAUUUCUUUGUGUUUAGCUGAGUAUGGUUCCUAAUCAGAGGCUAUCGUUGUCUCCGAUUGGGAAUCAUACUUAAGUAAGUGGAAACUUUUUCUCUUUUAAUUCAGCUUUCUUCCCAUUUCUUGUGUUUUCAAAAACAAACCAGGUUGUAGUUUUAAAAUGCAAACCAACUGGAGGAGAUUAUUCAAAAAUGGUAUCUUAAAAUAAGUAACCAAAUCCCACUGGCCCAGGUAUUAUUUCAUCUGUAACCAAAUCCCACUGGCCCAGGUAUUGUUUCAUCUGUAACCAAAUCCCACUGGCCCAGGUAUUGUUUCAUCUGUAACCAAAUCCCACUGGCCCAGGUAGUUUAAUCUGUAACCAAAUCCCACUGGCCCAGGUAGUGUUUCAUCUGUAACCAAAUCCACUGGCCCAGGUAGUGUUUCAUCUGUAACCAAAUCCCACUGGCCCAGGUAGUGUUUCAUCUGUAACCAAAUCCCACUGGCCCAGGUACUGUUUCAUCUGUAACCAAAUCCCACUGGCCCAGGUACUGUUUCAUCUGUAACCAAAUCCACUGGCCCAGGUACUGUUUCAUCUGUAACCAAAUCCCACUGGCCCAGGUAGUGUUUCAUCUGUAACCAAAUCCCACUGGCCCAGGUACUGUUUCAUCUGUAACCAAAUCCCACUGGCCCAGGUAGUGUUUCAUCUGUAACCAAAUCCCACUGGCCCAGGUAUUGUUUCAUCUGUCAACUAAUGACACUCAUUGCACUGUGCACCUGAGGCUAUGGCAGGUAGCCUACAUCUAGGUUACAAUAGUAGUCAACAGUUAGUAUGACACAUUACAUUACAGUGUGGCAGGUUAAAGCCUCAGGCUUAGUUUUAUUACUAGACGAGGUCCAUUAUCAGAUCUGACCCAUAUGAUUCAGUCAUUGAAACCCAUGUCACCUUCAAACACACACACAGCACUUCUUUAGUGGGUUUGAGGAGGGUCAGGGCUUGAUGUUUAAUGCGAGCUCAACGUCAGCUCCUUAGUUGGCCAAACUCUCUUUAUUAAUUGCUAUUGUUAGUAUAGUUUUUAUCUCACAAUCUCUAGUUCUCCUUGUCAAUUCAAGCCCCAUGUCAGAGUGGACCUCCCUGGUGCAUUCCAUCAGUCAAAGUUAUGUGUAUAGGGCUAUUCUUUCUGACACUUUCGUAUCCACCGUUCAUGCAGAAUGGCUCCAGCCGUAAGCUGUGUCCUAGUUGUAACAUCAAUAGGAGUAGCAUCAAAGAAGUGCAAGUUCUGUGGUGCAACAACACAGCUAAAGGUCAAGUUAGAGGCCCAAAAAAUGAAGGCUACAGAUGAAUGGGCAAAUAAGACAAUGAAACAUGGAAGAUAUGCAACCUUGGUUAAUGCAGCAAACAAGCUGGUAAGCUUUAUUAUGUUUUCCUCUAAAAAGAUUUCUGCAUUUCUAGCUUAGGGAUAUGAUAGGCCCUAUGCACUUAUUUGUUGUUGUCUCAUUGUGUCAUUUAAGACUGUAAAUCUAAAUGUCAUUAUUUGACUGAUAUUUGUUGUGUUUCUGGAAGUUAUUUUGUCAUUAAUGAUUCCAGGUACAUAGGUUCCACAAGGUAGGAGUGUACCCCCGCUACUCCUCAGCAAGAGGAAGAAGGAUAACAUUUUGUCGUCAACUGCACUGUGUCCUCCCAGUGGUAUGAUGAAUCAGACCUCAAUGGCACCAAUCCAAAGGUUGUAUGAGGCAAUUGUGAAAGUGGCAAUCAACACCCAUACCCCCACACUACAACCAUCCAACCCUCCUGCUGUUGCUGCCCAAGAACUGUCUGAUACAGUUGACCCCCAGGAGACCAGCUACACCUCCAUCCUCAACCAGGUUGAACCCCCGAUAUCCCCCACCACCCAGGAGACCAGCUCCACCCCAUCCUCAACCAGGUUGAACCCCCGAUAUCCCCCACCACCCAGGAGACCAGCUCCACCCCAUCCUCAACCAGGUUGAACCCCCGAUAUCCCCCACCACCCAGGAGACCAGCUACACCCCCAUCCUCAACCAGGUUGAACCCCCGAUAUCCCCCACCACCCAGGAGACCAGCUUCACCCGGAUCCCCAACCAGGUUAAACCCCCAAUAACCCCCACCACCCAGGAGACCAGCUACACCCACACCAAACCAAAGAAGACGGAGAGAAAGUCCCGUCACCCUCAAAAACCCCUCCAACUCGCUGAGCAUGACACAGCCAACCCCAUCCAACCCCAUCCUACCCCAUCCAACUCCAUUCUACCCCAUCCAACCCCGACCAAGGAAGAGGAAAUAUGACUACAUGCAAAAAGAGUGUCCAGUGCAUCCGGGGCAAACGUUUUUCCCUAUUCUCAAGAUUCUUGCCAAUAGAACUUCAAAGGAGUGCCUUGCAAAAGUAGUCAAACCCCUUGGAAACGCCUUUGACAGUGAUUACAGCUGGGAGUCUUCUUGGGUUAUUGUACUGCUGAAAGCUGGAUUCCUCUCCGAGUGUCUGUGGCAAGAAAUGGGAUGAUGACUGGAUCAAGGCCGAGGACCGCGCUUCUCCAGUUUAACCUACUUUAUGCACAAAUGUAUUCUUCACUCUCGCUUCACAUGUAUCACUGUCAACCAUAAGUGGUUGGCCAAAUUCACCAUGAUUUACCAUUGAAACAUUCAUGGAGCAUCAGCAUGCCAACCAUUUGAUCUCAAUCAGUUUCAUGAGAAUAUGCAUUUAGAUAUUAUUCAUAUAAAGUGAGCUAUAAACGUAUUGCAACAGUGACACAUGUUUUGUUGUUUUGGAUCUGUACUCCAGAACUUUUUAUUUGAAAUUAUACAAUGACUAUGAGGUUAAAGUGCAGACUAUCAGCUUUAAUUUGAGUGUAUUUUCAUCCAUAUCUGGUGAACCGUUUAGAAAUUACAGCACAUUUUGUACUAGCCCCCCCCCCCCAUUUUGGGGGACCAAAAGUAUUGUGAUAAAUUCACUUAUGUGUAUUAAAGUAGUCAGAAGUUGAGUAUUUUUGUCUUUUAUGUUUGUAAUGAUUCAUUUUACUAUGUUAUUAAAUAUAUACGUUUAAUUUCACUCUCAUUUUUUACC
rnacentral:lncRNA from 1 species